GAUGAACGCUGGCGGCGUGCCUAAUACAUGCAAGUCGAGCGAACUGAUUAGAAGCUUGCUUCUAUGACGUUAGCGGCGGACGGGUGAGUAACACGUGGGCAACCUGCCUGUAAGACUGGGAUAACUUCGGGAAACCGAAGCUAAUACCGGAUAGGAUCUUCUCCUUCAUGGGAGAUGAUUGAAAGAUGGUUUCGGCUAUCACUUACAGAUGGGCCCGCGGUGCAUUAGCUAGUUGGUGAGGUAACGGCUCACCAAGGCAACGAUGCAUAGCCGACCUGAGAGGGUGAUCGGCCACACUGGGACUGGGACACGGCCCAGACUCCUACGGGAGGCAGCAGUAGGGAAUCUUCCGCAAUGGACGAAAGUCUGACGGAGCAACGCCGCGUGAGUGAUGAAGGCUUUCGGGUCGUAAAACUCUGUUGUUAGGGAAGAACAAGUACAAGAGUAACUGCUUGUACCUUGACGGUACCUAACCAGAAAGCCACGGCUAACUACGUGCCAGCCGCCGCGGUAACAC
rnacentral:rRNA from 1 species